rnacentral:rRNA from 1 species
AACGAACGCUGGCGGCAGGCCUAACACAUGCAAGUCGAACGCCGUAGCAAUACGGAGUGGCAGACGGGUGAGUAACGCGUGGGAACAUACCCCUCGGUUCGGAAUAACUCAGGGAAACUUGAGCUAAUACCGGAUACGUCCGAGGUUUUGAUCGACCUUGGAGAAAGAUUUAUCGCCGAAGGAUUGGCCCGCGUCUGAUUAGCUUGUUGGUGAGGUAAUGGCUCACCAAGGCGACGAUCAGUAGCUGGUCUGAGAGGAUGAUCAGCCACAUUGGGACUGAGACACGGCCCAAACUCCUACGGGAGGCAGCAGUGGGGAAUAUUGGACAAUGGGCGAAAGCCUGAUCCAGCGAUGCCGCGUGUGUGAAGAAGGCCUGCGGGUUGUAAAGCACUUUCAGU